CGUGUAGGCGGUUGGUCAAGUCUGGUGUGAAAGCCCGGGGCUCAGCUCCGGAAGUGCGCUGGAAACUAGCCGACUGGAGCGCGAUAGAGGAGGGUGGAAUUCCUGGUGUAGCGGUGAAAUGCGUAGAUAUCAGGAGGAACACCGGCGGCGAAGGCGGCCCUCUGGAUCGUUGCUGACGCUGAGACGCGAAAGCGUGGGGAGCAAACAGGAUUAGAUACCCUGGUAGUCCACGCUGUAAACUAUGGGUACUAGGUGUUCGGGGUGUUGACCCCCUGAGUGCCGACGCUAACGCAUUAAGUACCCCGCCUGGGGACUACGGCCGCAAGGCUAAA
rnacentral:rRNA from 1 species